AUUGAACGCUGGCGGCAUGCCUUACACAUGCAAGUCGAACGGUAACAGGUCUUCGGAUGCUGACGAGUGGCGAACGGGUGAGUAAUACAUCGGAACGUGCCUAGUAGUGGGAGAUAACUACUCGAAAGAGUGGCUAAUACCGCAUGAGAUCUACGGAUGAAAGCAGGGGAUCGCAAGACCUUGUGCUACUAGAGCGGCCGAUGGCAGAUUAGGUAGUUGGUGGGAUAAAAGCUUACCAAGCCGACGAUCUGUAGCUGGUCUGAGAGGACGAUCAGCCACACUGGGACUGGGACACGGCCCAGACUCCUCCGGGAGGCAACAGUGGGGAAUUUUGGCCAAUGGGCGCAAGCCUGAUCCAGCAAUGCCGCGUGCAGGAUGAAGGCCUUCGGGUUGUAAACUGCUUUUGUACGGAACGAAAAGCCCUGGGUUAAUACCCUGGGGUCAUGACGGUACCGUAAGAAUAAGCACCGGCUAACUACGUGCCAGCCGCCGCUGUAACAC
rnacentral:rRNA from 1 species